rnacentral:misc_RNA from 1 species
GAUGAAGAACGUAGCGAAAUGCGAUACUUGGUGUGAAUUGCAGAAUCCCGUGAACCAUCGAGUCUUUGAACGCAAGUUGCGCCUCAAGCCAUUAGGUUGAGGGCACGUCUGCCUGGGCGUCACAUAUCGUUGCCUGAUGCCAGUUUCCUCGUGAUGGGUGACUGUGCAGGGCGAAUGAUGGCUUCCCGUGAGCAUUGUUGCCUCAUGGUUGGUUGAAAAUUGAGUCCUUGGUAGGGAGCGCCGUGAUAGAUGGUGGUUGAGUGACGAACGAGACCCAAUCAUGUGAGACCCCUACCGAAUUUGGCCUUCAUGACCCACAGGCGUCUUUGGAACGCUCAUGACGAGACCUCAGGUCAGGCGGGGCUACCCGCUGAGUUUAAGCAUAUCAAUAAGCGGAGGA